rnacentral:rRNA from 1 species
UUACAAUGGAGAGUUUGAUCCUGGCUCAGGAUGAACGCUAGCGGCAGGCCUAAUACAUGCAAGUCGAACGAUACCAAUGGG